UUUUGACUAGUUUUAUUAUUAACAAAUUAAAAAGAAAAAGCUAUCAUUUUUCUCUUCUCCUCCACCGAAAAUGGCAGAAAAUAAAGGGGUUUUGAAGCUCUGAAAUAUCAGCCACUUAGAUCCCUUGCUAAUGAUGAAAAUCGAGAUUUGGACCUAGAACGGAAAGAAAUCGAUUAAGGGAUAAUUACGUAUUUUUUUACCUUUGUGGUAUCGAGAGUUUCCAGGUUAGCUCGGGUUGGAGGCCGUCAGAGAUAUUAUCACACUGUCAAGCUAACGCUAUUGGUGUAGUGAUUUUAAGUACUUUGAGCCUAUGGCAUGUAUAGGAGUUUUAAUAUUAGAGUAUGUGAUAUGGUUUUAACCAUAUGUGUUGGCCUAUUUUGAUUAUAGGGUUGUAAAUCUAUUUUAAUUAUGCAUGCAUGUGCUAUGGUAUUAUGUGAUGAGUUUAUAAUGAUUAUAGUAUGAAUGUGGUAAA